rnacentral:misc_RNA from 1 species
CCAGAGUGAGGCUGUGAUUGUUCCACAUUUUUGAAAGACUAACGAUAGGAAAACAAAGAAAAGGAAUGCAUUCAUGUAAAACCUGUGAAAUGGCCUGGACCAACCAUGUAUUAUACAGCAUCAGACUGGCAAUCCAUCAGACUGGCAAUCCAGUGUUAAAUAAAAAAGGUGUUCCCAAGAUUGUUACAUGUAUGUAUGUUGAUUUGCUUUAAUAUGUUAUUUCAAAUGUAGGCACAACCGGUGCUGUUUUUCAUUUUGUAUUGGCCAGAGCAUAAGGAUUCCUUUGCAAUCAUUGUCUUUUCUACAGUUUACAUUUGUUAAAUGAUUGAAAGUUUUCCUUCAGUAUUAUACAUAAGUAUUUGUAUGACUUAUACAGUUAUAUCUGGGACAAGAAUCUUGUUUAUCAAGUAAUCUAAGUGUGUCUGAACAUGCACUUGUACUAAUGACUGUUUUUAGUUUAUACAUCAAUUCCACAGGAUGGUAUUGUCACUAAUGUGUUUGUCAAAUGAAACUUUCAAUUGAUGGUUGCCUGGCCAAGCUCUUUGUUAAAAAACCCGUUGUUCUGAAAGUACAUAACCAAUUGUUGAAAUGCAAUAAACAUUUAUUU